rnacentral:rRNA from 1 species
AGAGUUUGAUCCUGGCUCAGAUUGAACGCUGGCGGCAUGCUUUACACAUGCAAGUCGAACGGCAGCGCGGGCUUCGGCCUGGCGGCGAGUGGCGAACGGGUGAGUAAUAUAUCGGAACGUACCCAAGAGUGGGGGAUAACGUAGCGAAAGUUACGCUAAUACCGCAUACGAUCUAAGGAUGAAAGCAGGGGAUCGCAAGACCUUGUGCUCCUGGAGCGGCCGAUAUCUGAUUAGCUAGUUGGUGAGGUAAAGGCUCACCAAGGCAACGAUCAGUAGCUGGUCUGAGAGGACGACCAGCCACACUGGAACUGAGACACGGUCCAGACUCCUACGGGAGGCAGCAGUGGGGAAUUUUGGACAAUGGGGGCAACCCUGAUCCAGCAAUGCCGCGUGAGUGAAGAAGGCCUUCGGGUUGUAAAGCUCUUUUGUCAGGGAAGAAAAGGUCGUGGCUAAUAUCCACGACUGCCGACGGUACCUGAAGAAUAAGCACCGGCUAACUACGUGCCAGCAGCCGCGGUAAUACGUAGGGUGCAAGCGUUAAUCGGAAUUACUGGGCGUAAAGCGUGCGCAGGCGGUUUCGUAAGUCUGUCGUGAAAUCCCCGGGCUUAACCUGGGAAUGGCGAUGGAGACUGCGAGGCUAGAGUUUGGCAGAGGGGGGUAGAAUUCCACGUGUAGCAGUGAAAUGCGUAGAGAUGUGGAGGAACACCGAUGGCGAAGGCAGCCCCCUGGGUCAAAACUGACGCUCAUGCACGAAAGCGUGGGGAGCAAACAGGAUUAGAUACCCUGGUAGUCCACGCCCUAAACGAUGUCUACUAGUUGUUGGGUCUUAAUUGACUUAGUAACGCAGCUAACGCGUGAAGUAGACCGCCUGGGGAGUACGGUCGCAAGAUUAAAACUCAAGGAAUUGACGG